rnacentral:rRNA from 1 species
UACGUAGGGUGCGAGCGUUGUCCGGAAUUAUUGGGCGUAAAGAGCUUGUAGGCGGUCUGUCGCGUCUGCUGUGAAAAUCCGGGGCUCAACCCCGGACUUGCAGUGGGUACGGGCAGACUAGAGUGUGGUAGGGGAGACUGGAAUUCCUGGUGUAGCGGUGAAAUGCGCAGAUAUCAGGAGGAACACCGAUGGCGAAGGCAGUUCUCUGGGCCGUAACUGACGCUGAGGAGCGAAAGCGUGGGGAGGCGAACAGG